rnacentral:rRNA from 1 species
UACAGAGGUCUCGAGCGUUAGGCGGAAUCACUGGGCUUAAAGCGUGUGUAGGUGGAUCGGUAAGUACCUUGUGAAAUCCCACGGCUUAACCGUGGAACUGCUUGGUAUACUGCCAGUCUUGAGCCAGCUAGGGGCUACCGGAACAAAUGGUGGAGCGGUGAAAUGCGUAGAUAUCAGGAGGAACACCAAUGGCGAAGGCAGCUCGCUGGGACGGUACUGACGCUGAGACGCGAAAGCGUGGGGAGCAAACAGG